UCCUGAGCUGAAGGGUACGGUGCUAUACAGCUCGAAGUUCUAUGUCCUAACACACAAAAACCGCUGGAAGAGCACAGCAGGUCAGGCAGCGUCUAUGAAGGGAAGUGAGCAGUUGACUUUUCGAGCCAAAACCUCUCAUCAGGACUUGGCUUUCGGCCCGAAACGUCAGAACUGAUGAUGGGUCUUGGCCUGGAGCACUGGCAGAUUAAUUACCCUUCGUGGAUGCGACCUGACCUGCUGAGUUCCUCCAGCGUGCUUUGUGUCGCUCCAGAUUUCCAGCAUCUUAGAUUGUUCCAGUAUUUUUCCCAAGGUGGGGGAAAUCUAAAGCGAGAAGACAUGAAUGGAAGGUGAUAGGGGACAGAUCUGAAAGGAACCUGAGGCAAAACCUUUGCACAUAGAAGACAAUGGGUGUGUGAAACGAUCUACCUGAGGAAGCUGGAGGGGCAGGCCGAGUUACUAGUUCGACAUUCAACCCGGCAAAGAUGGAAAGCAUGCAAGGGGCUAGCCAGAUUUGAACCUGGGACCAUUCGCCUCGAAGUCCGGAACUGAUGCCACCACACCACCGGCCGGGGGAGUCUGCCAUUCCGCCACACUUGGGCACACUUGGGUUCAGUCGUUACCAGCGCUCACCGUUCAGAAUCUGCCCAUCCUCCACGCCUGGGUUCAGUCAUUGCCAGAGCUCGCCGUGAUGGGUGAACCAGGGUUGAGUGAAGAGCUGAUGAGAUGGCGUCUACUGUGGAAAUGUUGAGCCAGUAGGCAAACUGAAGUGGAUCAGGCAGGAGUUGAUAUAUUUCAUCACCAACCUCUCAAAUCAUCACUGUGGAUACUUCCAGCAUCUGGAGAAUUUUGCCUUUGGUUAACUAUCGGUCAACAGCGUUUGGAGCUCGUCAAGAUGUUCCUUUAAAUUUGCUGAUGUUACUGGCGUUCAGAGGACACAUCUCUGCACUGUUAGACACAGAAAUUUCCUGCAGCUUGUUCUGAUUGACCCUUCUGAAGUACUACAGUAAUAACAUUACAAAAGAGGUUAAUCCCCUCUUCUGAACAUCUUAUCCAGCGGCGAGGUGGCUGGGGUUCUGUCAGAGUCCGUGAUCUACGGCUGAACUCAAACUGUGCUUCUUCAGGGCGGACAAGUUCCCACUCCCAGAGCUCACCGACGGGCUGUUUCCAAUAGCACCGGAAGCGGCCUGUAGGAUGUGACCCUUCGGGGUGUGGCUCUGCCACCCUGUGGACGGACUGAUUCCAUGUCGGUGUCGCAGACUGAGGCCUUACGGGAGAACGGAACAUCUCUACAGCGGAGGCAGCUAUCGGAGACCUCUUUACCCAGACGAUGGCUGUCUUUCUGUUGAUGGUGGGGGAGACUUUGGCGCUGAUUCUCGACCAGAGAAGCGGCAGACUGGAACAUGGUAACCAGCGAGCGGUUUGUUGGUCUCCCCUCCUUGUCCCACGUUAGUGAGGGAGAGAGCCUGUGGCAUGCCAAAUUGUCAGAUGAACAAUUAGUUAUUGUUGAACUGCUUAUUAAGGUCUCGCUUCGGGAGUUGUGCUAUUGCGAACUGGGAGGGUGGUGAGUGCUGGAAUAAGAGGGCGAGCGUUGAUGCUUUGCUGAAGUUUGUGCAUGGGAAGGGGGAGGGGGGCUUUGAAGUUCUAACAUUUUUCGGUCAUUCAUUCUUUGGGGUUAUCUUCUGUUUUGUAGAAGAGCAAGAAUUUCAGGUUGUACACAUUCUCUGAUAUUAAAUGAAACCAUUGAUCAAUUGAAUAAUUGAAGCAUUACCAGACAAACUCUGACAGCAGGUCCUGUUUGAACUUUUGAACCAAAAGACCAAAUGAACACUCAAAGAGAUUAGAGUAAGGAAGUGUUUCAACUGAAGAGGGAUAACAAACUGGAGAAUCAAAUUCCAGAGCAUAGAGUCUUGGCAGCCAAUGGUAAUACCACUGGGGCGGUAAGGUGGCAUUGCCGUUGGCGUAACGCCAUUACAACACCAGCUACCCAGGUUCAGUCCCUAAACGCUUGUACGUUCUCUCCGUGGCCAUUCGGUUUCCUACCAAUGUCCAAAGAUGCACGGGUUAGCAGGUUAAUUGGUUACAUGGGUGUAAUUGGGUGGUUGUGGGCUUGUUACCGUGCUGUCUCCCUAAAUUUAAAAUAAAUAAAAAAUGCAGGACUGUGCACAGAAGAGCAAAGUGUAGACUGAGGUGGGGUGGUAAUAGUGAAGAAAGAUAUUGUAGCAAAGGAGAGUCUGAAGCACUGGAGGGAUUAGGGGAUAAAAUUAUAACUUUAAGAUCGAGUUUGACAUGGAGCGAUGGAAUCUCAGGAUUCAAUGUGAGUUAAGUUCAGAAACUUAAAGUUCAAGUUCAAAGUAGAUUUAUUGUCCAAACACAUAUAUGUCACCAAAUACCACCCUGAGAUUCAUUUUCUUAGAGACAUUCACAGAGUAAUAGAGGAAUACAAUAGACUCAAUAAAGCAUGAGUUAGUGAACUAGAUGACCCUGUGGUAAGAAAGCAGCAUCCAUCCUCAGAGAUCCCCACCACCCUGGUCAUGCUCUCGUCUUGCUGUUGCCAUCAGGUAGACGACACAAGAGCCUUAGGUUUCCCUUGCCAUUUCCUGCAAUAAUUGUCUCGACUUUGUCAGUUUUUUAUUAUGUAUUUUUGCUACCUGGUCUUGAAUUGCCGCAAGGAACCCCUCUGUUGCUGCGAAGAGGUCUCCAACUCUGAUCCAGGCGCUUGACACUUCCUUGUCAAUAUCUAGUCUGCUCAGAUAAAAUGCUGGAGGAACUCAGCAGGCCAGGCAGCAUCUAGGAAGAGAUGAAACGUCGACUGUACUCUUUUCCUAGAUGCUGCCUGGCCUGCUGGGUUUCUCCAGCACUUUGCGUGUGUUGCUCAGAUUUCCAGCAUCUGUAGGUUUUCUCCAGUCUGCUCAGAUCGUGGGGAUAUCUUCCAUAGAGGGUUAAGCCCUUCCAUUGGUUAACUUUUACUUCUAUAGUGAUAAUUUCUUCAUUUUUCUGGGUUGUGCUCUCAUUUAAGUUUAGUGGUGUAUACUUCUUAUGAGAAUUGCAUAUGCUCGCGUGGAGUGCUGAAUCCUGUUUUCAUUGAUGAAAAUACAUCCUUAGAAGUUUUAUCUGACUGUUGUGUAAACUUUUUAUGUCUGUUAUUCCUCUUCCUUAUUCUGUCCUCGGUAGUGUUAAUCUAAGUGUGUAUGAGUGUACAUAAUCCUUUCUAAAAUUUGUCAUUUCAGUUCUUAUUUUUCUUUCUAAGUUUUCCAAAUCAGUUUCAGACCAAGAUAUUAUGCCAAAAGAAUAUAUUAAUAUCGGUAUAGCAGAAUUGUUUAUUGCCUUUGUUAUAUUUUUACUAUUGAGUUCUGUUUGACAGAUUUUCUUAAGCCUUGAAAUAAAUUCUGUAGGAAGGUUCCCUUUAUCGCACUGUGAUCUAUUUUCUUUGCUUGUUGAUAUCUCAGAUACUUAUCUGUUUCAUAUUCACCCAUCGGUUGUAUUGUAUCCCUCUGCUCUGUUUUGUAUUCUACUAGCUCCAUUGCACCUUUCUUUAUGUUUAAUGUUCUGCACUUAUCCAGUACAAAGUUCAUCUUUAUAUCUUUUGAAAGUAGUUCUCCUAUUUGAAUAAAUUGCUUUAGCUUUACUGAUGAAGGAGUGUAUAAUUUCAAAUUGUCCAUGUAUAGAAGGUGUGUCAAUGUGUAAUUUGCUUGGUAGUUUCUGAUUUGAUACUCUACUUUCAUCCAAUUCAGUAAAUUAGAGACGGGUUUAAUGUGAGACAGAACUGUAGAGAGUCACCCUGAGAAACGCCACGGUUAAUUUUGAUAAUGGUAGUUGUUCUUUUCUGGUAGUUAAUAGAUAAGGUGGUUACAGUACGACAAUGCUUCUUCAGAUGUUGAAAGAAUUUCACAAGUAUUGGAUGUAGUUUAUAUGAAAAACUUCUAUUAAUCAUGAGUGUGGGACAGAAUCAAAUGCUUUUGGUAGUCAAUAUAACAACAAUGAAAGAUUUCUGCUUUUCUGCUGAGCUUAAUUUAGAAUUACAGAAUCUAUUAUCAGUUGUUCUUUACAUCCUUUCAUACCCUUACGGCAUCCUCUCUGCUCCUCUGUAAGUAUAUUGUGGUUAUCUAAGUGAGUGGUGAUUAGUUGCGAGAUGCAUGAUGUUACAAUUUUAUGUAUAGUUUGUAAAUGAGUAAUAGGGUGAUAUUUUGAUGGUUCAUUUGUGAUUUCUCAAUUAGGGAAAAAUAUAUGUUUUACCUUCUGUCAAAAAUUCAGGCUCUUUUUCUAUAUUUCUAAGAAAAUUUUUGAUAUGUAUUAAUAGGUACAGAUGAAGGCAAGUAAAUUUUUUAUAACAAUCAUUAUGAAUAUUAUCACUGCCAGUACCUUUCCAAUUGUGGGUAUUUUUAUAACAGCUUUUAGCAUAUCUUCUUCUUAUUAUUAUUUGUUCUUUUUUGUGUUUGCUCGGUUUGUCUUCUUUUGCCCGUUGGUUGUCAGUCUUUGUGUUUAGUUUUUCAUUGAUUCUAUUGUAUUUCUUUGUUCUACUGUGAAUGUCCCCAUAAAAUGAAUCUCAGGGCAGUAUAUGGUGACAUAUGUGGACAUUGAUAACUUUGAACUUUGAACUUUGAUCCCUGUUGCGGACAAAUGAAGCAAAGAUGAUUACAUCAGGAGGCUCUUCAUUGACUACAGCUUGGCAUUCAAUACCAUCAUCCCAUCAAAACUAAUCAAUAAGCUUCAACUCCUAGGCUUCCUUGUGCAACUGGAUCCUCGAUCUCAUCACUUGCAAACCCCGAGUCAGUUUAGAUGGGCAACAACAUCUCCACUGUAAUCUCCCUCAGCAAAGGUGCUCCACAAGGCUGUGUGCUUAGUCCCCUGCUCUACUUGCCUUAUACUUAAAAUGCUCCCCACCACUGAGCACGUCUACAUGGUGCUGUUGUAGGAAAGCAGCAUCCAUCAUCAAGGACCCCCGCCAUCCUGGCCCUGCUGUCUUCUCACUGCUGCCAUCAGGAAGAAGGCACAGGAGCCUCAGGAUUCACACCGCCAGGUUCGGGAACAGUUAUUACCUCUCAACCAUCAGGCUCUUGAACCAGAGGGGACAACUUCACUCAUCUUCACCUGCCCCAUCUCAGAACUGUUCCCACAACCUAUGGACUCACUUUCAAGGACUCUUCAUCUCACAUUCUCGAAAAUUAUUGUGAAUUCAUUAUACGUUUUCCUUUCCUUUCGUAUCUGCACAGUCUGUUGUUUUUUUUUGCACAUUGAUAUUGUCCAUCCUAUUAGAAGCAGUCUUUCAUUGAUUCUGCUGUGUUUCUUGUAUAUUCUGUGAAUGCCUGCAAGAAAAUGAAUCCCAGGGUUGUAUAUGGUGACACGUACUUUGAACUUUGAAAUGAGAUGGUUCCUGAUGAAUUGUGACUGCUUCCCCUGUUCAGAUACAAUUAAGGAUGGGUAUUAAAAGUCAGUGACAUCCAUGUACCAUGAACAAAUAUAUAAAAACAACUCAGAUCCAGGCCAUUCCAACUCAGAGAUGGGAAUGCUGAACCUCAUCAUGAGAAUACAGAUCCAAAUUAUUGGGCGGGAGGAGAAGAUGGUGGCGCGACGCAGUGCGGGCAGCUCUCCGGUGAAAUGAUAUCAUAUUUGUAAGUAGGACGCUGUGCACAAUUCUGAUUUGAUGGAGACAGACGUGAGAAGCAGAGGAACAUCUGGAGAAAUUUCUGAAAUGCCCGGUUCACUGCCACUGCUACUGUGCGAUCGAGAAUCUCCGGAGGGAAGGCCCCAAAAUCCCCGGCUUUGCCUGCUGCUGGCGACCGAGGCUGAGGUCGAAUCGUUCGGCAGAGAUGGUGCUCGGUACUCGGUGUUGGAAGGCUGAUCAGAGCUCGAAGUUUUCGGAUGACUCAGAGUCGGACUGUGGUCGGGCAUGGCAGGGAGAAUUUUCUUCCUUCUCCUGUCUGCGUGAGAUGUGAGACUUUCGAGAGACUUUGAACUUUUUUACUGUGCCAUGGACUGUUCUUCAUCAAGUUAUGGUAUUGUUGCACUGUUGUAACUAUAUGUUAUAAUUAUGUGGUUUUUGGUAGUUUUUCAGUCUUGGUCUGUCCUGUGUUUUUGUGAUAUCACACCGGAGGAAUAUUGUAUCAUUUCUUAAUGCAUGCAUUACUAAAUGACAAUAAAAGAGGACUGCGUGUCCUCAUAAUCUAAAA